UGGGGAAUAUUGGACAAUGGGGGGAACCCUGAUCCAGCGACGCCGCGUGAGUGAAGAAGUAUUUCGGUAUGUAAAGCUCUAUCAGCAGGGAAGAAAGGAAUGACGGUACCUGACCAAGAAGCCCCGGCUAACUACGUGCCAGCAGCCGCGGUAAUACGUAGGGGGCAAGCGUUAUCCGGAUUUACUGGGUGUAAAGGGAGCGUAGACGGCGAUGCAAGUCUGGAGUGAAAGGCGGGGGCCCAACCCCCGGACUGCUCUGGAAACUGCAUGGCUGGAGUGCAGGAGGGGCAAGUGGAAUUCCUAGUGUAGCGGUGAAAUGCGUAGAUAUUAGGAGGAACACCGGUGGCGAAGGCGGCUUGCUGGACUGUAACUGACGUUGAGGCUCGAAAGCGUGGGGAGCAAACAGGAUUAGAUACCC
rnacentral:rRNA from 1 species